UACGUAGGGGGCAAGCGUUGUCCGGAUUUAUUGGGCGUAAAGAGCGUGUAGGCGGCCCAAUAAGUCCGCUGUGAAAGUCAAGGGCUCAACCCUUGAAUGCCGGCGGAUACUGUCGGGCUAGAGUCCGGAAGAGGCGAGUGGAAUUCCUGGUGUAGCGGUGAAAUGCGCAGAUAUCAGGAGGAACACCUACGCGAAGGCAGCUCGCUGGGACGGUACUGACGCUGAGACGACGAAGCGUGGGGAGCAAACAGG
rnacentral:rRNA from 1 species